GCUUUGCUCUUAGCCGUGUAUUACGUUGUUUCUGCAGCAUUCCUGAGUAGUAUUUUCUCUGUUCCUCUCCAGCAGUUACAUGCAGAGCCGGGUUCCCCUGGGAGGUCCACCCAUGCAGGGCUGGAGAUGCAGCGCGCCAUUCCUGUCCUGCUGACUGCACGGUGACGACGUGAAAGGGAAACGUUCACCUUCUGUGUCACUUGCAGCAAGCUUAUCCCACAGGGUCUUCAAGGUCCGCAGAGGUCUUCUGGGACUGGGGUCUGAACAAAAGCAGUUGUGGUGCCAGUGUGUAAGGCAGCACUGGGCUAUGCUCCCACGGGGUGUUCAUCCUACCCUUCUGGAUCAUCGUUUUGCAGGAAAAGAGGAGAGUCACUGGAGCAGAUGCCUGGAUUUAAUGUGAAAUUUUUUUUAAGCCUUUGCUUGAGGAAGCUGCCAGGAGCACAGCUACAGUCAAAUAACUCUUUGCAAUGCCAUCAUUACCAGCAACAGGUAUUUAUUGAAAAAAUCAAGUGAACCCUUUUCUAAAGAAGUAAGUAAAAGACUUGCAGGCUGGUAAAGCAUGAGAAGUGGUGUUGCUCAGCUGACUGGGCACAGGAUUGAGUUUCAGUUGACCGGGGUUCAGCCCUUGGCUGUGCUGUGGACCUGCACCCUGUGACCUUGAGUUAAGGUCCUUCUUUCUCACCCAGCCCUGCUGUUUGUUUAGCUUUGUUAUCUGUGGGAAUUACUAAAGAUGGUGAGGUUAAGCAUCAAAACCAUAAAUCAAAUGAGGAGCUAUUGGGGAGGGAAAGGAGGGCUGAAGGUGGCUGGGUUUCCUCCAGCUUUGCUGCUGUCCUUCCAGGUACCGACUCCCUCGUCGGGGAUGGGUAUGUUGGACUUGGACCAGGCUGGGCAGGUCGCACAGAUACAGUGAUCCCUGGUGGCCCUGGCUAAAUGGUAAGAGCCAGGCCCCUUAGCUGUAGGUCUGUUGGUGGGGCAGGUCCUAUUUAUUCAUGUAGGUGGGUUCAAUUGCAAAGUCUUUGUGGCCAGGACUGUUUUCAAUCUGGUGGCUGUGCCCAGAAUAACAGGAGCAGGAUGUCAGUGGGAGCCUCCAGAGCUGCUGCAACACAAAUACUGAUCAGUCUCUAACAGAUAAUGUUUCCUGUCUCCAGCUUUUAAGAGAGCCUUGCGGGCCAAGGGAAUGGAAAUCUUCCUCUCUCUUUUACUGGUUGCGGUGUCCCGUUCAGGCAGGUACAACAGGGAAGCACCUGUUUGCUGCUCCAUCAGCUCUGGAUGUUCUCCAGAUGCCACUGGGGAGACCCGGUGGGUCCUGAGAAAGAAAAUAUGCCCACGAAGGCUCACUGGAGUGAUUACUAGCUAUCCCACACCUUGGGAAGCCAGUGCUAUCUGUGGCUCUGCCCUGAGGAAACUAGGUACCGACUGGAUAACGGCCAGGCCUGGGUGAAAUGGCCGGGCAGGGCGCGACAAGGGAGCCAGGAGGAAGGAAAUGAAGUCAGCCCUGUGAUCCACACCAGAUGCACACUCACGCUUUGCUACGAGCUCAUUACCCCCUGACCACGCGCUGCCCUGAUCUGCAGCUACAGCUGCGGGGGGAGCUGCCAAACUUGGCAAGGAUCCGGCCCGUUCCCGAAGCUCCCUUUCAGGCGCGAGGCAGCCCUUUCCCCAGGGCCCCGUGCGGAGCGGUGGUGGCUAAAUGAGUAAUACAGAAAUCUGCCUGCACAGCCAGCCAUAGCACAGUGUCGAAGCAUGGUGAUUUGUACGGACCGGUAUGAUCCCUCCUGGGCUUGCGCGGUGGCUGAUGGACAGCCAAGGCUGAAAAUGUUGGGUGGGUAGCUAUCACAGAAAAUAUUUGCGUUGUUUAUCAGGACAUGAAAAGUCAUGGGAUUUAAAGGAUAUAUCCACCAAGUACAACCAGUAAGUAGUUGCUUAAGAAAGCCUGCUGCUGGGACAACCAAAUCAUGGCCUCAGGGCAAAGAGGGGAGAAGAUCCUGUUCCCUGUAGGUCUGCUGGCAGCAGCCCUGGCUCUGUCCUGAACUCCUGCAGGACUGGGAUGAUUGCGACUCUGAUCCCAGGGGCUGUGGCCAAGGAAAGAGGAGGCGAGCUUGGAGAGGUGGCUCUGCGGGAGCUUCUGACACCAGGAGAUGAGGUAAAAGAGCUGGAGCUUGGCCUUUUUACGACUCUUAGUAGCACUGAUUUGUUUGAAGAAGUAGCAGUUGGAAGGAGAGGGAGCGGAGCAGACGCAGCUGUGGGCUAGGAGGCCAAAGGAGAAAGAGACAAGGCGAGGGAAGACCACUGCUAGGAGAUUCAUUUAUCCAAGCCAGCUGCACAUCUCAUGGCGUGUUUGUUUUUUUUUUAAUUGAUUUUUAUACUAACAGACAAUUAAGCUGAUCUAUUUAUUUUUUUGAUGUUUCUCUAGUACUGAGUCAUUUCCUGGGGGGUGGGAAGAAAAUAGCAUUUUUCUCAAAGCUUCAAAACAGUGUUUCAGAGUUUGGGUUGAGGAUUCUUUCUUUGUUUGUUUCUUUCCUUUCUUUCAAUGAAACAGCUACAUUUAAAAAAGCAUGAAAACAAAAAACAGAGGUUGACAACCCCCAAACUUCUGCCAGAGUUGCUCUUUGCUCACAGAAAUGGGUGUCCGUAAUGGGUAGCCCAAAGCAGUGUACAGGGUGAAGGAUGAGACCUGCCAAAGCAGCCAAGCACCAGACUGCCUUGUUGUCAUAUUCACCCGCAGAUGUUGAUGCUUUUUCCAGCUCCUACACACGUCACUUGUGUCGGUGCCUGUCUGCUCCGCAGCAUGCUGACCUUUCUUCUGGUUUACACAUCAAAACGGACUGUUUUGGCAGUGGUUUCCAAUUCGGUAAGCCACAUGCCUUUGCACUGUAGUGGACGUAGGGCAAAGCUGGCUAUAGCCCCCAAAGCUUACGUGUUAGUACAUGCUGUUGGUCUGGAGAAGCCUAGUGUGAAACAGUGGUGAGUCUGGAUCCUUUUUUGCCAGAAAGCUAUAAGUACAAUGGGUUAGUUAGAUCUUUGACUAAUAAAAAUGGACAUCUGCAAUCAAGCUAAUUUGCUAGAGAUUAGAGCCUAAUUAAAACCAAAGAAGCAAAGGGGCUGCCAGCCUCAGAACUAAGCGCAGGCACAGAGCACCGUGCAUUGACAGCUAAGAGAUGCACUGGCUUUUUGAAAAUAGACAGCAGUUAACCACCUUGAAGGAGAAGUCACACCACCCACGAAGCUCCCAAGCACCAACUUCACUCCGUCCUGUCUUUCCUGUGGAUUGGGGACAGGAUACCCACCGGCCAUGGUGGAAAGAACAGCAAAAACUUCCAUUGACAUCGAUGGGUUCUGGACUCAUCUUGUGGCCUUUUUUGUUUGUUUGUUUGUUACACAUGCCCUGUAAUACUUGGUGUCCAGAAUGUUUUACGCAUCGUUUCUCAGUGGAGAAGGAAGAAAGCAUCCACUUUCAGAGUCACUGCUUGUACAUCAUGCAGUUGGCACGCGAGGGACCAUUGCUUUUGGUUGAGCAUUGGCGUCAUUAUGCUGGAAGUCAGAGUCAGUGCAGUUACCUCAGAUCCAGAGAGGCUUAACUCACUGCAAUAUUUAACUGGUUAUCCUCCCUAAGUAGUAUGCCAUGAAGCCAGUAGUGAGAGGAAAGAAAACUUUUAAAGGUGUGCUCAUUGACCCAGUGAAUGUGGCAGGAAACCACAAAAACUAUGUUGGGACCAUGCACAAAGCAAACUUGAUCCUGCCUCUACCCCUGGUUUUUCAUGUCUGUCUUUCAUGGUGCUGAAGCUUGUUAGGACCCUUAGCACUGUGAUGUGCAAUAACACCUGGAAUUAAGUGCUAGCCUGAAGAGCUAACCCUUGGAAGUCAACAGGCACAUGGUCAACAGCAGGCGCUUGUAAAAUAGAGCCUGUCUGUUGAAAACAGCUUGAUUUCUUAUUCACAACAGAUCAUAUUAACCCAUUCUCAACUAAAUUGGCAAGGGGCAGUGAUUUAACAUUUUAAAACAAAAGGAAGCAAGAGGAUACUGGUGACUAAUUUCCUCCAAACAACGUCAUGUGGGUCAUCUUCCUCAUAUGUUGUUUGUUUUGUCAAUUAGUCUUUAGGUAGAUAUUCAUAUAUCAACUAUUAUUUUCCACUGUGAAUUGUGGUUUUCUGCCCAGCAGCAAGUCCAGUUUCCAGGGUAAUUGGGAAGCCAACUCCUUUCUAACUACGCAAAAGAUGAACUGUGUUUCCUGCAACUUUAAUGUCUCUAAUGUUAUUGGUUGAGUAACAGCCGGACACAACAGUGUCUUCUGUAAGGAAAUAUGCCAACAGUUGUUGCUUAGACGUGAAUAGAACUUACUUUUUUUUAAAUAAAAAAAAAAAAGUGUUUUGAAUGAUUUGAAGCUGCAAUAACAGUCCUUUCCAGUCAAAGCUUACCCUUCACAACAACAGGAUGCAUUGCUCCAUUU